AACGUAGGGGGCAAGCGUUGCCCGGAUUCACUGGGCGUAAAGCGCGUGUAGGCGGCCAGAAAAGUCCGCUGUGAAAACUCGAGGCUCAACUUCGAGCUGUCGGUGGAAACUUUCUGGCUAGAGUCCGGAAGAGGAGAAUGGAAUUCCUGGUGUAGCGGUGAAAUGCGCAGAUAUCAGGAAGAACACCCGUGGCGAAGGCGGUUCUCUGGGACGGUACUGACGCUGAGACGCGAAAGCGUGGGGAGCGAACAGG
rnacentral:rRNA from 1 species